GGGAUCAGGGGCAGCCCCAGCACCCCACAGCCAUGGGGCACUCCCGGGUUGGCCCAGGGCUCUUGUGCCAGCAGCAAGUGGGGCCUGUCCCACCCACCAGCACUGCUAUAAACCCAGCGAGUUUGGGGCACAGCAGCAUUCCCUGGCCCCAGAGGCAUCUGGACACAGCCAUUGCUGUUGGGUUUGCUGCUGUCUGAACACCAAAGCCUUUGUCAGGGAGCUCUGUGAAGAUCCGGGAGAGGCAGCAGCCAUGAAGAUCCUGUUCCUUCUCUUCCCCCUGCUCCUCCUGCUGGUCCAGGGUGCUGCAGGCAGUGCAGUUACAUGCUGGCGAAAACAGGGAUUUUGCGCGUGGCGUUCUUGCCCUCGUGGUGCACGUGUUGUGGGAAUAUGUUCACCGCGCAUGUUGUGCUG